rnacentral:lncRNA from 1 species
CCCCUCCCCGUCCCCUACCCUCCCCGCCGCCCUCACCUGCGCGCUCUGUGCCGCGUCCCGGAUCAGCAGCUCUACUGAGCGGGGAGGGUCACCCUAACGCGGCCGACCCUGGCCGGUGUCCCCGCGUUUUCCGUCCGGCUGCGCCAUUGCAACUUCCGGCUUGCUGGGCCUUCUCGCGGAGCCCCACCUGUCCCGCCCGGGGCGCAGGGGCAAUCGCCGCUAGGAGCACGCGGCGAGGGCACCCUAGCCUCGAGUCGGCUUCCGCCCGUGGGGAAACUGAGGCUGCCUGGUCGAGGGUCUCCAUGGGGGAGCGCCGAGGCCUCCUCCAUGCCUGGGACCGGGGUGUCUUAAGAAGGAAGAGUCCAACCUCCAGGGUUGGGAUCCCGAUCCAUGAGGGGUCUCAGAGCAGGGCCAAGAUGGUCCUGAACAAGCCAUGCUGGGACCACCCCCAGGACAAACGGUGGAGAGGUUUUGGACUCCUAAUUAUUUCAGCAAGCAGCUGUGUUCUCCACGGGAAAGGCGAGGCCCUAAGAGACCCCAGUGCCCUGCACUUCGCCUAUUGUUAUUCUUCCUCCGCCCUCCAGCAGCCACAAUAUUCUUUCCCUGCAGGAAACACCACAACUCUGAGGUCCCAGAACCGCCCCAAAGCCACAGAUGGCUCUUGAGUGCUUUAAAUGGGGCGAGGCGGAGCUCAGACGUGCUCUCACUGUAAAAUGCACACUGGAUUUUGAAGACUUCUGUGAGAUAAAAGAAUGUGCGGCAAGUUAUUAACAAUUUUCUGUGUUUGUUGAAAUAAUA